rnacentral:rRNA from 1 species
GAGCUUUCCCCUUCGGGGGACAAAGUGACAGGUGGUGCAUGGUUGUCGUCAGCUCGUGUCGUGAGAUGUUGGGUUAAGUCCCGCAACGAGCGCAACCCUUAAGCUUAGUUGCCAUCAUUAAGUUGGGCACUCUAGGUUGACUGCCGGUGACAAACCGGAGGAAGGUGGGGAUGACGUCAAAUCAUCAUGCCCCUUAUGAUUUGGGCUACACACGUGCUACAAUGGACAAUACAAAGGGCAGCUAAACCGCGAGGUCAUGCAAAUCCCAUAAAGUUGUUCUCAGUUCGGAUUGUAGUCUGCAACUCGACUACAUGAAGCUGGAAUCGCUAGUAAUCGUAGAUCAGCAUGCUACGGUGAAUACGUUCCCGGGUCUUGUACACACCGCCCGUCACACCACGAGAGUUUGUAACACCCGAAGCCGGUGGAGUAACCAUUUAUGGAGCUAGCCGUCGAAGGUGGGACAAAUGAUUGGGGUGAAGUCGUAACAAGGUAGCCGUAUCGGAAGGUGCGG